rnacentral:rRNA from 1 species
GGAAUAUUGGACAAUGGGCGAAAGCCUGAUCCAGCUAUGCCGCGUGGGUGAAGAAGGACUUAGGGUUGUAAACCCCUUUCAGCGGGGAAGAUAAUGACGGUACCCGCAGAAGAAGUCCCGACUAACUCCGUGCCAGCAGCCGCGGUAAUACGGAGGGGACUAGCGUUGUUCGGAAUUACUGGGCGUAAAGCGCACGUAGGCGGAUUUGUAAGUCAGGGGUGAAAUCCCGGGGCUCAACCUCGGAACUGCCUUUGAUACUGCAAAUCUCGAGUCCGGAAGAGGUGAGUGGAAUUCCUAGUGUAGAGGUGAAAUUCGUAGAUAUUAGGAAGAACACCAGUGGCGAAGGCGGCUCACUGGUCCGGUACUGACGCUGAGGUGCGAAAGCGUGGGGAGCAAACA